rnacentral:rRNA from 1 species
UGAGGAAUAUUGGUCAAUGGGAGGAAUCCUGAACCAGCCAUGCCGCGUGCAGGACGACGGCUCUACGAGUUGUAAACUGCUUUUGUACCGGGGUAAAUGCUCUACGAGUAGGGUUUUGAAAGUACGGUACGAAUAAGGAUCGGCUAACUCCGUGCCAGCAGCCGCGGUAAUACGGAGGAUCCGAGCGUUAUCCGGAUUCAUUGGGUUUAAAGGGUGCGUAGGUUGUUUUAUAAGUUAGCGGUGAAAUACCGAUGCUCAACAUCGGGGCUGCCGCUAAUACUGUAGGACUAGAGAUCGGAUGCAGCAGGCGGAAUGUGUAGUGUAGCGGUGAAAUGCAUAGAUAUUACACAGAACACCGAUUGCGAAGGCAGCUUGCUAGGCCGGAUCUGACACUGAUGCACGAAAGCGUGGGGAUCGAACAGGAUUAGAUACCC